rnacentral:rRNA from 1 species
AUGAGCAAGGUACUCAUCGCCAUGUCUUUUGUGCUGAUGCUCUCGGCAUCUACGCCGCAAGCAUCAGCCGCAGUCCUUGGAGCCGCCGGAGGGAUCCUGCGGGUCCCUUCUAGUGACUCCUUGGCUCACUGCAUCCCAAGGUGCGGGGACGUCGACAUCCCCUAUCCCUUCGGUAUAGGACCCGGCUGCUUCCGUCAAGGCUUCGAGCUCACCUGCAACCACUCCACCUACAAUCCCAGGCUCUUUUUAGGCAGCAGCACUAUCCAGGUCACUGACAUUGACAUAUACUCCGGCGUAGUAUGGACCCCUAUAAUCUACAACCUUACAACGAGUCUAGGUACAAAUACGUACGACAUCAUAUGGAAGGUCCCUGCUAAAGGUAUUACUCUCACUAGUGAUAAUACUUUGUACGUAGCUGGUUGUGAUUUGGACGUCACCUUGUUCAAGUAUGGUACAAGAAACAUGGUUGGUUCUUGUAUGACUAGAUGCGCCGGCAGGAAGGCACCGACUGGAGGGCCUUGUUAUGGAAAGGGCUGCUGCCUCAUCCCCUUUGCAAGUGACCUGCCAGGCUUUCACGCAAAUCUUGUCAGCACUAAUACUACUGCAACACAAUCAGAUUGGUUGCACCCUGGCAUCAUGGCGUUGGUGUCAAGUAAUCCAUAUUCUUACAGAGAUAAUACAACCGACCUUUUCUCUAGUUGGACAAAUGCAAGCAUAAUUGAUGACGCGUCGCUUAGAGUUGCCAUCAUGGACCAACCAAGCUGUGUAAGUGCACAACUGAAGAACGAAAGCUAUGCAUGUAGCAAUGAUAGCAGCUGUCGGGGUUCCUCAUACGGUGGUUACCAAUGUGACUGCUCUUCUUAUGGCGGAGGCAACCCUUACAUUUUAGAUGGAUGCAUAGCAGAUUAUAAGUCCAAGCCCAAAGAACACUGUCCUGCAUCAUGUGGACGCAUUACUAUUCCCUUCCCCUUUGGGCUCGAAGAAGGGUGCUUUGCCAACAAAAAAUUUCAUCUGAAUUGUACAUCUGGUAAUCUCACAGUUUCGUUCUCAGAAAAUGUACAAUAUCACGUGACUAAUGUAUCCGUGGAAGAUGGGACUCUGACUGUUAGCAACAUGGUGAACGGAAAUCAUGCGAAAGAGUGGAUAUUAAUCCAGACCGACGAAGGAUAUGUAGAAGAGACACCUGUGGAAGCUCAAUUUGAUUUCUCUAUGGAAUUCGAUCACUUUGUUAUAAAGUGGGCGGUUGCCAAUUUAACAUGUCAAACAGCUAUGCAGAAGAACACUACAUAUGCAUGCCGCAGUUCCCAGAGCAACUGCCUAAACGUCACCCACGGGGAAAUAUUUAUGGGCUAUCGUUGCAACUGCUCGUCAGGCUUUCAAGGAAAUCCGUACGUCCAGGAUGGCUGCAAAGAUAUCGAUGAAUGCGCACUAUCAAACUACUGCAAUGGGACAUGUCAAAAUUUUCCUGGAGGCUACCAUUGCACGGGUUGCUCUCAUGGAGAAGAGUUUAAUCUAAUAAAAAAGCAGUGUGUUACAUCAACAAAGGAACACAAUCUUCUUUUGGGUAUCGCAAUUGGAACUGGAUGUGGCCUAGGCUCCAUACUUAUUGCAGUUUGUGUAUUCGUAUUCACCAACAAGUGGAAGAACGGCAUCCAGAAGAGAAUCCGGCGAGCACACUUCAAGAAAAAUCAAGGCCUACUCUUGGAGCAGCUUAUCUCAGAUGAAAGCGCCACAAACAAAACAAAGAUAUUCUCCUUAGAGGAACUAGAGAAGGCAACCAACAACUUCGAUGCCACUCGUGUUCUUGGUCGUGGUGGACACGGUACAGUUUAUAAAGGUAUUCUAUCUGACCAACGGGUGGUGGCUAUUAAAAAAUCCAAAAUUGUCGAGCAAACUGAGAUAGACCAGUUUAUCAAUGAGGUUGCUAUCUUGUCUCAAAUCAUUCAUCGCAAUGUCGUAAAGCUAUUUGGUUGUUGCCUCGAAUCUGAGGUGCCUUUGCUGGUUUACGAGUUCAUAUCUAAUGGUACGCUGCACGACCUUCUUCAUAUUGAUGUUAGUGUUGAAUGCUUGCUGUCUUGGGAUGACCGCGUUAGGAUUGCGGUAGAAGCAGCAGGUGCACUUGCUUAUCUACACUCUGCUGCUGCAAUACCAAUUUUCCAUAGAGAUGUGAAAUCUUCAAACAUACUGUUGGAUAGCAGCUUCGCUACAAAGGUUUCCGACUUUGGUGCUUCAAGGUCACUUUCACUUGAUGAGACUCAUGUGGUGACUAUUGUCCAAGGAACAUUCGGUUACCUAGAUCCAGAGUAUUACCAUACUGGGGAGCUAACUGAAAAGAGUGAUGUGUACAGUUUUGGAGUAAUUCUUGUGGAACUUUUGAUAAGAAAAAGGCCAAUUUUUAUCAACGAUCGAGGUGCAAAACAAAACUUGUCCCAUUAUUUCGUUGAAGGAUUGCAAGAGGGAUCUAUCAUGGAAAUAAUGGAUCCUCAGGUUGUGAGAGAGGCAAAUCCGGAAGAGAUUGAUGAUAUUUGCUCACUUGCUGAAGCAUGCUUGAGACUGAAAGGAAGAGACAGACCUACUAUGAAAGAAGUAGAUAUGAGGUUGCAAUUCCUGAGAACUAAGAGGCUAAGAAAAUGCAAAAUUCUACCAGCUAGUGAUGAAGAGAUUGAGCCUUUUUUAUGCCCAAAGGUUGGUAAUUCUGAUGCACCAAUGAAUGCUGUCAAUGCUGGUAAUUCAACAUCAAAAGGCACAUCUAGUUGCUACAGUCUCGAGCAAGAACUUUCAUUGUCGGUCACAUGGCCACGCUAA